AGUGAACGUUUCGCACCGUCUGGUGGUGUGCCAGCGGCGAGCGCUCGCGAAACCCGAGAUACGUGCCAUAUUUGGCAAACGUUGGCGCGCGAUCACAAACGGUUUUGGAUAUUUAGUUUCGACGGGUCGGGCGCGCGCGGGUCGCUCCGCCCGUGCGCUAAUUUCAGCCCCUUCCUUCUCGCUACACGACACGAGUCUCCGUUACCUGCCUCAGCUAAACACUGCCAUUUAUGACGUUUUGGAAUGGUCGUGUCAGUACCACCGACCUGGAACGCAGUUUCAGUAUUAAGAAGAUGCCACAACGGCUUGCACUUGUAACGGGCAGCUGUCAUAGAAUACAAGAUAUUUGAUAGAUGCCUGAAUCUCGCUAACGACAUUUCCGAGAUCAGCUCGCGUAUUUAAAAUUUUCAAACAACAGUAUUUAGACCGUCGGUCUAUCAAGCAACUACACCCGAUUGGUUACCGUUACGGAUAGAUAGAGGGGAUCAUAGCAGCAACAGCGCAUUUGAUGGUAACCAGUGGCGCUCAAGAUAGCUUCAUGGCAAUUGCAGCACGUAAUAUUUAUUGGGUCUAUGAGUGGUCAUUAUUUUAAGAUUCUAGCUACCGAUUUGUGCUAUUUCUAGUAUGAACAAUGACGAUUAAAGCUUUGGGAAUAU